CUGCGGCAGCGACACUCAGGUGUUGUUGGGUAGGGGAGCGUUCUGUAAGCCUGCGAAGGUGGCCUGUGAGGGUUGCUGGAGGUAUCAGAAGUGCGAAUGCUGACAUAAGUAACGAUAAAGCGGGUGAAAAGCCCGCUCGCCGGAAGACCAAGGGUUCCUGUCCAACGUUAAUCGGGGCAGGGUGAGUCGACCCCUAAGGCGAGGCCGAAAGGCGUAGUCGAUGGGAAACGGGUUAAUAUUCCCGUACUUGGUGUUACUGCGAAGGGGGGACGGAGAAGGCUAUGUUGGCCGGGCGACGGUUGUCCCGGUUUAAGCGUGUAGGUGUGUGUUCCAGGUAAAUCCGGUUCACUUUAACACUGAGGCGUGACGACGAGGCACUACGGUGCUGAAGCAACAAAUGCCCUGCUUCCAGGAAAAGCCUCUAAGCAUCAGGUAACAUCAAAUCGUACCCCAAACCGACACAGGUGGUCAGGUAGAGAAUACCAAGGCGCUUGAGAGAACUCGGGUGAAGGAACUAGGCAAAAUGGUGCCGUAACUUCGGGAGAAGGCACGCUGACAUGUAGGUGAAGUGAUUUACUCAUGGAGCUGAAGUCAGUCGAAGAUACCAGCUGGCUGCAACUGUUUAUUAAAAACACAGCACUGUGCAAACACGAAAGUGGACGUAUACGGUGUGACGCCUGCCCGGUGCCGGAAGGUUAAUUGAUGGGGUCAGCGCAAGCGAAGCUCCUGAUCGAAGCCCCGGUAAACGGCGGCCGUAACUAUAACGGUCCUAAGGUAGCGAAAUUCCUUGUCGGGUAAGUUCCGACCUGCACGAAUGGCGUAAUGAUGGCCAGGCUGUCUCCACCCGAGACUCAGUGAAAUUGAACUCGCUGUGAAGAUGCAGUGUACCCGCGGCAAGACGGAAAGACCCCGUGAACCUUUACUAUAGCUUGACACUGAACAUUGAGCCUUGAUGUGUAGGAUAGGUGGGAGGCUUUGAAGUGUGGACGCCAGUCUGCAUGGAGCCG
rnacentral:rRNA from 1 species